rnacentral:rRNA from 1 species
GAACGCUAGCGGCAGGCCUAACACAUGCAAGUCGUACGGUAACAGGGGAGCUUGCUCCCGCUGACGAGUGGCGCACGGGUGAGUAACGCGUAUGCAACCUGCCCCGUACCGGGGUAUAGCCCAGGGAAACUUGGAUUAACCCCCCAUGGCCCAUUUAUAUGGCAUCAUAUGGAUGGUAAAGUUUACGGUACGGGAUGGGCAUGCGUCCCAUUAGCUUGUUGGUGCGGUAACGGCGCACCAAGGCACCGGAUGGGUAGGGGUCCUGAGAGGGAGGCCCCCCACACUGGUACUGAGACACGGGCCAGACUCCUACGGGAGGCAGCAGUGAGGAAUAUUGGACAAUGGCGGAAGCCUGAUCCAGCCAUGCCGCGUGCAGGAAGACGGCCCUACGGGUUGUAAACUGCUUUUGUACGGGAAGAAUAAGGGGCACGUGUGUGCCCCGAUGACGGUACCGUAAGAAUAAGCACCGGCUAACUCCGUGCCAGCAGCCGCGGUAAUACGGAGGUGCCAGCGUUAUCCGGAAUCAUUGGGUUUAAAGGGUCCGUAGGUGGCCCCUCAGUCAGUGGUGAAAGCCCGCGGUUAACCGUGGACUGCAUUGAAACUGGGGGCCUUGAAUUGUUGUGAAGUGGCCGGAAUAUAUGUGGUGUAGCGGUGAAAUGCAUAGUAUACAUAGAACACCAUUGCGAAGAGGCCCUAACGGUGAUUGCACUUAUGGACAAACGUGGGAGCAACAGAUUAAACCCUGUAUCACCC